CGGCGGACGGGUGAGUAAUGCCUAGGAAUCUGCCUGGUAGUGGGGACAACGUUUCGAAAGGAACGCUAAUACCGCAUACGUCCUACGGGAGAAAGCAGGGACCUUCGGGCCUUGCGCUAUCAGAUGAGCCUAGGUCGGAUUAGCUAGUUGGUGAGGUAACGGCUCACCAAGGCGACGAUCCGUAACUGGUCUGAGGGGAUGAUCAGUCACACUGGAACUGAGACACGGUCCAGACUCCUACGGGAGGCAGCAGGG
rnacentral:rRNA from 1 species